CACGGACCCCAACAAGUGGCGCAGCGAGCAGGGUCGCACGGGAAACAGUCACUUGGACAACUCACGCCAUUUAACUCCUUUGGCUUUACAAGAACUCCAGCUUAUAGAAGAACAACUUUAAAAGGCCCCUUCCUGAUGUUCCCCUUUCCUUUUGUUUAUUUCGUACUUUACAUUCUCCUACAGGAAUAAUUCAUCAGACCAAUCGGCCGCUAGAAUGAAUCUUUUUGUCCAAUAAAACAUCUAAAUGCUUGGCUACUUAUAUCAAUCAUUUAGCUAAACUGAUCAUCAAAAAACGACAUCACUGUCGACAACUUUGGGGAGGAGAUCCUUCCUUAAUUAUCUCUCAAUUCACUCAUAGUCAGAUCACUUAUCUUCUUACAACUUCUGAUUCUUGGCAAGAAGCUUCAUCAAUCUUGAGUUACAGUUUAUCCUUAUCCCUCGGUGCAAUAGAAAAAAUUGUUUGCUAUUCUCAUGGUCUUACUUAAUUUCCCUACUACUGGUUAUAACAUUGUUAGUGAUUCUCAAUACGCUGUUUAUAUUACUUCUUAUAUUUCUCAGGCCACUUUACCUCUUUGUGCUACUUCUUCUCUUCAGAAAUUCUUUUCUUUGUUAUCCUUUACUUUGAGCCAACGUCGAGCUCCUUUAUUCAUCACUCAUCUUCGUUCUCAUUCUCAACUUUCUGGACCAUUACUCAUACCUGAGUAUUCAUGGUAAUACUCAGAUUGAUUUGCUUUUAAUCGGCCACCUACAUGCUGCAGAACAAAAAUAUACUCUACAUCACACUAAUAGUUCUGGCCUUCAACGAUGGUUUCAUUUAACUCAUAAACAAGCUCGUUCUCUUAUUCGAGCUUGUCCUUCCUGUGCUCCUUUAAACAUUCCAUCCUUCCAUCCUGGGGUUGAUCCAUGAGAUGUCCCUUCUUUUAGAUGAUUAAAAUAUGUUCAUCAUACCAUUGAUACCUUUUCUCAUUUUCAAUGGGCCACUCCGUUGCCAUCUAAAAAAGCUAAUUCUGUUAUUACACAUCUCUUGGUUUGUUUCGCCAUCAUGGGCAUUCCUCUUAUACUUAAAACUGAUAAUGCCCCUACUUAUGUCUCUCAUAAAUUACAAGUUUUCUUACAGCAAUACAAUAUUCAACAUAUCACCAAUAUCCCGGGCAACAGUCAAGGUCAAGCCAUCAUUAAGCGCACAAAUUUAACCUUAAAAACUCAACUAC